UAAUAUUUAAGAUGAAACUAACAUUCAAUGUUUCAACAGGUUAUUAUUUAAACACAUUAAACGAACAAGAAGACAAAAAUUGAGAAGGAUUCGAAUACUGGAGAAGUGGAGCCCUGUUACUGCUCAUUCCCUGAUAGAUGCAAUUUUUAGAAAAUACAUGCAGUCCAAUUCACACCGAUGUGUAUAAAGUUGCAUAAGCGAUGUUCUAUCUUCUGCUGUAUGGCUCAUUUCACCAUCAUAAGCAUCUAUUGUGAGAGGCACUUCUCUGUACAGUAAUCCUAGAGUUCAACAAACGAGAGAAUUAAAGCUGACCAUGCUGAACCAAUCAAUGUCUGUAAUCGUAUCAUCAUUCCUGGAUUAAAUUCUUCAUUUGCUGUUUUCGUCUUUAACUUACAACAUUAUGCAAUGAAUAUUCAACAGAUGAGUGAGAGCAAGAGGAGAUUUAUUUAAAUUCCAUUGAAACAAGUUUUCUGCAAACUUGGGCACGUUACAGUGUACUGUUUCUUAAGGUCAACGGUGGAGAAGACAAAGAAGACCCCGUAGUUAAAAUACCUGUGUAUCUUGUAUGUCCUUUUGUUAUUAGAAUUAAUAAUUUUUUAUUUUGCAUGUUUUUUGUAGUUUAUUUGAAUUAAUUUUUGAUUG